GGGAGGGGCACUGUAUUUCAAGUUUGGAGAGAUAUUUAACUGCAGGUACUUUGAGUAGAAGUGAAAGAGACAGAGGUAUAGGCAAAUUACAGCAACCCUCUGGAUUUCAGAAUGUUCCAUUGCUUUUCCUACAAUUUGGAUUUUAAAACAAGGGUAAAGGCAAAGACAAGCAGCCCAUACCUUAAGUAGUUGUAACAACCCCUUGGCAGCUGGUGUAGGAAGACCAUGAGCUGGAAGUCCACAUGAGAACACUGGAACCUUCAAGAUGCUGGGAGUAUUUGUUGAAGUGAGUCUGAAAGCAAAACUCAAUGGAUAUAAACAGAUUUCCCUACCAAAACUUCUUUCUCAGAAGAGGAGAUUACUUCCCUACAUUGUUCCUACUACUUGCAAGUAUGAAACUUUAGAACUUAAUCCUUUUACUUUUAAUGAUUUGCAUUUUUAUGUGAUACUUAGCCAAAAUAAAGAAAAAAGAAAAAAAAUAUAAAAGCACAUUGAAAUGCAAUAAUACAUAGUAACACGAUUUAUUAAAGUUUUGGUACUUAAAAUUUCUGGAUAUAUCUUAGUACAUUAUAUAGUUUUGAACUAAAAUAUUGGUUGUUCAUUUUUCACUUGAAUAUAGGAAAUUUUUUGAUAAAAUGGUAUCUAUUAAAAAUCGAUAAAUUCUUGGUUCAUUAAUUAGUCCUUAUUUACCUAAAAACUAUCAUUUUAUUAUAUAAAUAAAUAAAGAAAUGUUGCAUUAUUUUAAAAAAUUCACUCUAAAAAUUUUAUUUAUCUUAUUUUAUGUAUACAUUUGUGUGUGCCUGACUCUAUUUCUGUUUACCUUGGGCAUGCAGCAACCUACAGAGGUGAAAAGAAGUAUCUUAUCCAUGGAAACCAGGGUUACAGAGGUUAUAAACCCAUGUGAAUUCUGGGAACAAAACUCUGUCUUGAGGAACAGUUCUGACCUGCAGAACUACCUCUGGGCCCAUUUAAUUAAUUUUACUUUUAUUAGCUGCGUGAAUGAGCCUAUGCAACAGAAGUCUGCCAAGACUCAUAGGCUAUGGAAAGAUUUUAUAUAUUUAGAGCAAUUUAUGAGUUACUGAAAGAGAGUGUUAAUUAACCAACUUCAUCCUCUGAAAUAGCAUCCAGUGCUCUUAACCAUUGAGCUGUCUAUCUAGAUGUGAAAUGCUUUUCAGAUAAUUUUUUGUUGCUCUCAACACUGGUAUAUUUUUCAAUGCUAACACCUUCCAGUUCUGUGAAUUUGCUGGGUUAUGUGUCACUCUCUACUCACCAUCCGUGAUGACAUUUCUGCCAGAACAGUCUUCCUUACCUAACAACCCACAUUCCUUCUUCUCAUUUGGAGGUGGUUUCUUUCAUUAGGUGCAUAUCCUUUUUACUAAGACCCUGGAUCAGUUCUUGAUAGUCUCCUUCUGCCCCUACAUCUCUUCCCAUGGACUCAUCUAAUUCCUUAUAUUGUCUCCUGAACUGUCACUUCACCAUAUCUUUUGAUACUGGAACCUUCUCUAUAGAUAGUAAAUGGUGUUCUUCUAUGUUCCCUGUUCCCCAGAAAUAGAAUCUGGUUAUAAAGAAGGUGGCCAGAAUGUACCGAGUAAGUGAAGACACAGUCAAGACUCUUCAAAGGACAGUUCAUUUACAAUUUCCACCAGGAUUUUCUGGGCUACAAAGUGAAAGAGAUGGGGGUUGGAAAUGAAUAAGGCAAGAGAUAGAGUGAAGAAGGAAGUCAAGUAGCUGAAGAGGAUGGGGUAGGAGGCAAAAAUGAAACACAUGAUAGGUAAAAUAAAACAAAAUGAAGGGCAAGACCUGGCAGGAUUGAAUCCAGUUCUCUCUUAGUGUAGAUGUGAUUUCAAUUAUUCUGGGAACUGAGAUAGCCAGGGAAUAAAUGAAGAUCCUUGUUUAGGCAGAUGGAUAUGCAGAAAGGACUCCUGGGCAGGCAUUACUCUGUACUUAAUGUCCUGCAGCCAGCAUAUCUAGCUAACCUGAAGGUUCUUUCUCUUGCCUGCAUACAGUCACCCCUAUGAAUCAUGGCCAGGAGUGUUCCACAUUUACCAGGAGCCAAGUGGGAGAAAUUGGAGGCCCUGUUCACCAAGAUCCAAUCCCCAGAUAUCUAUGAAACAGAAGGUAGUUCUCACCAUGAACUUACCUGAGUCCAGGGCACAGGUAGGAUGAUCUUUUCUCUGGAUCCCUCAUACAGUUAAUAUAAUCUUCUGUGGGCCCUUGUCAGAUCCAGAGUGAAUGAAGGAGAGAGGAAAAGGAUAGCAUCCACAUUUAUGAAGUGGCCUAAAAGCCUCCCAUGCCCCUUCUUAUAGCAUCAAUCUUCUUAUAUAAUGCCUUCUCACAACACUGUCCUCUAAGAGUUCUCCUUCCCUUUGUACUUUUUGUUUCUGUUUAGGGUUUCAUAUAUGCAGAAGUGACCUACCACUGAGAUAUAUCAUCAGCCCUCAAUUUUUUAAAUUUGAUAAAAAUUUAUUUUUGAGACAAGGUCUUAAUAUGUAAACUAUGCUGGCUUCGAACUCAUCAAAGAUCCCCCUGUCUCUGAUUCCCAGGUGCUGAUAUUAAAGCCACUGCAUAAGACUAGAGAUUCAGUUUAAUUGUGUGUUUGUGUGGGGGGUGUAUAACCUGACACACAAAACUGCAGUUUCAGAAGAGGCCAGAUGAUGACAUUAGAUGCCCUUGAGCUAGAGUUGUAGAAAGUUGAGAGCCAGGAAAUGUGGAUGCUGGAAACUGAACUCAGAUCCUCUACAAGAGUACUAUGUACUCUUAAUCAUUAAGCCAUAUCUCUCUAGCAUAUUUUGUUAUCUUAAUUUUAAAAAUAUUAUUUUGUUUGGAAGAAGAAAAGAAAGGUAAAAAUAAUGUAAUUAUACUGUAAUUUCAAAAACUAAGCAAUGAAAUUAUUGUUAAUUUUAUACAAUGAGAGAAUGCACUGAUGUCAUAUCUACCCCAUUCUCUACCUUUGCUUCUUCUUGGACACCCUUCAUUUCCCUUUCAAUUUCAUUCGUGCCUCUUUUGUUUUUCUCCUCCUCCCUCUCUCUUUCUCCUCCUCUUUAAAACAAACUAGGUCAUAUUACACUUCCCAUAUGCACAUCAGUGUAGAAUCAUAUUUUUAAGAAUUAGUAUUGGGAGACAGUUUCCCAGACAGGGCUUGAACUCACAUUGCAUCCCAGGCAGACCUUGAUCUUUAGAUCUUCUUGCCUCCUCCCUCUCCUCCUGAAGAGCAACAUUAUAACUCGUCUGUGCUAUUGGGCCUAGGUUCAGAGAACUUGCCCCAUCAUCAUGGUUAUUGAGCAAUCAGCCAAUCAAUCAAGUCAUAUUAUAAACUAAGGAGACUCACAUGAUUCACAGAGCUUUGCCAGUGAAACUUCUAUGCCAGUGAAUUUUACUUGACAGUGUUUCCCAGGAACUACUAGUUCUAGAAUAACAUGCUAAACAUGAUAACUCACACCUUUAACCCUAGAAUUU
ensembl:lncRNA